rnacentral:rRNA from 1 species
GACAGAGGGUGCAAACGUUGUUCGGAAUUACUGGGCGUAAAGCGCGUGUAGGCGGCAUGGCAAGUCGGGUGUGAAAGCCCUCAGCUCAACUGAGGAAGUGCGCCCGAAACUGCUUUGCUUGAGUGCUGGAGAGGGUCGCGGAAUUCCCCAAGUAGAGGUGAAAUUCGUAGAUAUGGGGAGGAACACCGGUGGCGAAGGCGGCGACCUGGACAGUAACUGACGCUGAGACGCGAAAGCGUGGGUAGCAAACAGG